rnacentral:rRNA from 1 species
GUCCACUGAACCUUAUCAUUUAGAGGAAGGAGAAGUCGUAACAAGGUUUCCGUAGGUGAACCUGCGGAAGGAUCAUUGUCGAAACCUGCCCAGCAGAACGACCCGCGAACCUGUCACAACAACUGGGGGCGGGGGGCGAUCUCGCGCCCCGCCCUCGAACGGCAGGGAGACACUCGUGCCUUCCUGCCGAACAACGUACCCCGGCGCGGUCCGCGCCAAGGAACAUGAACGAAAGAGUGCCUCCGGUCGCCUCGGAAACGCUGCGCGCAYCGGAGGCGAAUCUUGUCUAGAACCAUAACGACUCUCGGCAACGGAUAUCUCGGCUCUCGCAUCGAUGAAGAACGUAGCGAAAUGCGAUACUUGGUGUGAAUUGCAGAAUCCCGCGAAUCAUCGAGUCUUUGAACGCAAGUUGCGCCCGAAGCCACCUGGCCGAGGGCACGUCUGCCUGGGUGUCACGCAUCGUUGCCCCCAACCCCAUCGCCCUGCAAAGAGGCGGUGGGGGCAUGCGGGGCGGACAUUGGCCUCCCGUGGGCUGAUGCCUGCGGCUGGCCUAAAAACGAGUCCUCGGCGACGAUCGCCACGACAAUCGGUGGUUGACAAACCUUCGUGACCCGUCGUGCGCGCAUCGCCGCUCAACGCGUGCUCUUUUGACCCUGUCGCGUCGCGCUCGCGACGCUCCAACGCGACCCCAGUCAGGCGGA